UUAAACUGAAGAGUUUGAUCCUGGCUCAGAUUGAACGCUGGCGGCAUGCCUUACACAUGCAAGUCGAACGGCAGCACGGGUGCUUGCACCUGGUGGCGAGUGGCGAACGGGUGAGUAAUACAUCGGAACAUGUCCUGUAGUGGGGGAUAGCCCGGCGAAAGCCGGAUUAAUACCGCAUACGAUCUACGGAUGAAAGCGGGGGACCUUCGGGCCUCGCGCUAUAGGGUUGGCCGAUGGCUGAUUAGCUAGUUGGUGGGGUAAAGGCCUACCAAGGCGACGAUCAGUAGCUGGUCUGAGAGGACGACCAGCCACACUGGGACUGAGACACGGCCCAGACUCCUACGGGAGGCAGCAGUGGGGAAUUUUGGACAAUGGGCGAAAGCCUGAUCCAGCAAUGCCGCGUGUGUGAAGAAGGCCUUCGGGUUGUAAAGCACUUUUGUCCGGAAAGAAAUCCUUGGCUCUAAUACAGUCGGGGGAUGACGGUACCGGAAGAAUAAGCACCGGCUAACUACGUGCCAGCAGCCGCGGUAAUACGUAGGGUGCGAGCGUUAAUCGGAAUUACUGGGCGUAAAGCGUGCGCAGGCGGUUUGCUAAGACCGAUGUGAAAUCCCCGGGCUCAACCUGGGAACUGCAUUGGUGACUGGCAGGCUAGAGUAUGGCAGAGGGGGUAGAAUUCCACGUGUAGCAGUGAAAUGCGUAGAGAUGUGGAGGAAUACCGAUGGCGAAGGCAGCCCCCUGGGCCAAUACUGACGCUCAUGCACGAAAGCGUGGGAGCAAACAGGAUUAGAUACCCUGGUAGUCCACGCCCUAAACGAUGUCAACUAGUUGUUGGGGAUUCAUUUCCUUAGUAACGUAGCUAACGCGUGAAGUUGACCGCCUGGGGAGUACGGUCGCAAGAUUAAAACUCAAAGGAAUUGACGGGGACCCGCACAAGCGGUGGAUGAUGUGGAUUAAUUCGAUGCAACGCGAAAAACCUUACCUACCCUUGACAUGGUCGGAAUCCUGCUGAGAGGUGGGAGUGCUCGAAAGAGAACCGGCGCACAGGUGCUGCAUGGCUGUCGUCAGCUCGUGUCGUGAGAUGUUGGGUUAAGUCCCGCAACGAGCGCAACCCUUGUCCUUAGUUGCUACGCAAGAGCACUCUAAGGAGACUGCCGGUGACAAACCGGAGGAAGGUGGGGAUGACGUCAAGUCCUCAUGGCCCUUAUGGGUAGGGCUUCACACGUCAUACAAUGGUCGGAACAGAGGGUUGCCAACCCGCGAGGGGGAGCUAAUCCCAGAAAACCGAUCGUAGUCCGGAUUGCACUCUGCAACUCGAGUGCAUGAAGCUGGAAUCGCUAGUAAUCGCGGAUCAGCAUGCCGCGGUGAAUACGUUCCCGGGUCUUGUACACACCGCCCGUCACACCAUGGGAGUGGGUUUUACCAGAAGUGGCUAGUCUAACCGCAAGGAGGACGGUCACCACGGUAGGAUUCAUGACUGGGGUGAAGUCGUAACAAGGUAGCCGUAUCGGAAGGUGCGGCUGGAUCACCUCCUUUCCAG
rnacentral:rRNA from 1 species